GUAGUCUCGUGUCUUUGUUCUCUA
rnacentral:siRNA from 1 species